GCGCGAAAACUCUACAAUGCAGGCAACUGCGAUAGGGGAACAUCGAGUGAUCCUCAUAUUGGGGGUCUGUCCACCCGCCUAAAAAGCGGGUGUUAGCAAGGGCCGGGCAAGACCGGUGCCAGCCGCCGCGGUAAUACCGGCGGCUCGAGUGGUGGCCGAUAUUAUUGAGUCUAAAGGGUCCGUAGCCGGCUUUGCAAGUCUCUCGGGAAAUCCAGCGGCUUAACCGUUGGUCGUCCGGGGGGUACUACAUUGCUUGGGACUGGGAGAGGUAGGAGGUACUCAGGGGGUAGGAGUGAAAUCCUGUAAUCCUUUGGGGACCACCGGUGGCGAAGGCGUCCUACCAGAACAGGUCCGACGGUGAGGGACGAAAGCUAGGGGCACGAACCGGAUUAGAUACCCGGGUAGUCCUAGCCGUAAACGAUGCUCGCUAGGUGUCACAACAGUCGUGAACUGUUGUGGUGCCGUAGGGAAGCCGUGAAGCGAGCCACUUGGGAAGUACGACCGCAAGGUUGAAACUUAAAGGAAUUGG
rnacentral:rRNA from 1 species